CCAGCAGCCGCGGUAAUUCCAGCUCCAAUAGCGUAUAUUAAAGUUGUUGCAGUUAAAAAGCUCGUAGUUGGAUUUGUGGCUUACGGUGGGUUCCGGGCACUUGUUGUCUGAGCAACAUGCUGUUGCCAUCCUUGGGUGGAACCUGUGUGGCAUUAGGUUGUCGUGCAGGGGAUGCCCAUCGUUUACUGUGAAAAAAUUAGAGUGUUCAAAGCAGGCUUAUGCCGUUGAAUAUAUUAGCAUGGAAUAAUAAGAUAGGACUUUGUCGCUAUUUUGUUGGUUUGCGCGACGAGGUAAUGAUUAAUAGGGAUAGUUGGGGGUAUUCGUAUUCCAUUGUCAGAGGUGAAAUUCUUGGAUUUUUGGAAG
rnacentral:rRNA from 1 species